rnacentral:rRNA from 1 species
CACCACAGUAUCAAGCAAUUCUAUAUAUCUAUAGAACUCUUUAUGUUAAAACUAGUAACAAGAAGAUUCAACUUCUCUUUAAUGCAAGUAUACAUCAGACAGGACAAACCACUGAUAUUUAACAUUCAUGAUCUGACAGUAGAAACGCUUCAAGAAAACUCUACUAAACUUUAUGUUAACCUAACACCAGAGCAUUACAAGAAAGAUUAAAAGAAAGGGAAGGAACUCGGCAAAUUUUAACCCCGCCUGUUACCAAAAACAUCGCCUCUUGCACACCUAUAAGAGGUCCAGCCUGCCCAGUGACUCUGUUCAACGGCCGCGGUAUCCUAACCGUGCGAAGGUAGCGUAAUCACUUGUUCUUUAAAUGAGGACUAGUAUGAAUGGCACCACGAAGGUUAUACUGUCUCCUCUCUCUAAUCAGUGAAACUAAUCUCCCCGUGAAGAAGCGGGGAUAAACAUAUAAGACGAGAAGACCCUAUGGAGCUUUAAACUAAGAAUCAAUUGCCUUUCCCCAUCUUCAAAUUUCAGAAAACUAACUUUUACCAAGACACUCUGAUUUCUAGUUUUAGGUUGGGGUGACCACGGAGUAAAAACUAACCUCCGCAAUGAACAGGGAUCUUCCCUUAGCCAAGGGCCACAACCCUAAAAAUCAACAAAUUGACAUCAAUUGACCCAAAAAAUUUGAUCAAUGAACCAAGUUACCCUAGGGAUAACAGCGCAAUCCACUUCAAGAGCUCCUAUCGACAAGUGGGUUUACGACCUCGAUGUUGGAUCAGGGUAUCCCAGUGGUGCAGCCGCUACUAACGGUUCGUUUGUUCAACGAUU